rnacentral:lncRNA from 1 species
AAGAUUCGACCGUUUGAGGCCGAUCCAACUCAUAAUCAUAGACCAUCGAGUGCCCCAGAUUCAAUAUGAUGAGAUCGAACGGAUGGGAAAUUGAGUAUUUAAAAAAACAAUUUAAGGUUUCUUCAUUUUUCAAAGUGAGAGCCAAAAAUGAGAUAGGGAGAGAGCUGAGUUCGAGUGGGAGAGAGAGUAGGCCGAGCGGAGUGAAAGUCGAGUAGAAGGGAGAAGACAGUGCGAUGGAGAGAGGGCAGUGUGCUUGAGGUUGUGGAUCGACGAAGAAGAAGAAGGGAGAGUUGAAAUCAGGAGGAAUGAAGAUUGAAAAAGGAAGAGAGAAGAGGGUUGCUAGCUAGAUAGAGAAAGAGAAAGAAAGGAGAGGAGCGGUUGAAGAAGAAGAAGAACAAUAAAGCACCGCGAAAGUUGAAGGCCAGAGGAAGAAGGGAUAAGAAGAGUCACGAUUGGGAGACGCCACGAUGCUGGCAGUUUCUAAAGUGAGUCGCACGCGAUGCCGAUUAUUCUGAAGUAGAAUCAACCACCCUGUCGCAACGAGUGAGGAGUUCUUUUGGGGAAAAUUGAAAAAUAGUUUCGGGAGGUGAGAACCCGAAACCCGAAGCCGUUUAGCCCUUCGUGGCACCUGACCUGAAUCUUAUAAUCCUCUUUCCCUUUUAUGUCAAAGUUUUCGAUGGGAGCAUCUGUUGACACGUAUGUGGACGCGUAUGUGCAGAAUUUAGAAGACAAAAAGCUUAUGUCGAUGCAGUGAGCCGAAGAGUGGUCUACCAGAUGCAAGAAUCCAAGUAUUCCUAGUGAGGUUCGAAACCCGUAAACCAAAAGCGAUUUAGACUUUUAGUUUCUGAUUUACGAUUAUUAACCAUGCAGUGGAUCCAUAUUGAACCAUAUUGCUUGUGAUUGAAUCUGGUAUUGCAGGGCAUUUUGGGAAAGCCAAUUUGUAAAUGAAUUUUUUAAGUAUUCCUCGUUCCAAACCUAGAUUAGGAUUUUUUAAGUUUACGCAUGUGUAUUCUUAAUUUUUGUGAGUAUUUCAGUCUAGUACGGAUACUUCACUAAUAUACUGAGAAGAAUUGAGACUCGAACACCAUCUAGACAGCAUGAGCCUGCCAAGGGGAGUUCAGGACAUUUGAUCUAUGAUGGUCGCUUGCUUAUUUUGUUGUUUUUGACAAUUAUGAACCUACAAUUAUUUUGAGACUCGAACACCAUCUAGACAGCAUGAGCCUGCCAAGGGGAGUUCAGGACAUUUGAUCU